rnacentral:rRNA from 1 species
GGAUUAGAUACCCUGGUAGUCCACGCUGUAAACGAUGAGAACUAGCCGUUGGGAGACUUGAUUUCUUGGUGGCGCAGCUAACGCAUUAAGUUCUCCGCCUGGGGAGUACGGCCGCAAGGUUAAAACUCAAAUGAAUUGACGGGGGCCCGCACAAGCGGUGGAGCAUGUGGUUUAAUUCGAUGCAACGCGAAGAACCUUACCUGGUCUUGACAUCCUGCGAACCUUUUAGAGAUAGAGGGGUUCCUUCGGGAGCGCAGAGACAGGUGCUGCAUGGCUGUCGUCAGCUCGUGCCG